AGGACGAACGCUGGCGGCGUGCUUAACACAUGCAAGUCACGGGGGCCCGCAAGGGUAACCGGCGAACGGGUGCGUAACACGUGAGCAACCUGCCUAGAUGUGGGGGAUAGCCGGCCCAACGGCCGGGUAAUACCGCAUACGGUCACGAGGAGGAGUCUCCUUGUGAAGAAACCUCCGGGGCAUUUAGAGGGGCUCGCGGCCUAUCAGCUAGUUGGUGGGGUAAUGGCCUACCAAGGCGACGACGGGUAGCUGGUCUGAGAGGACGAUCAGCCACACUGGGACUGAGACACGGCCCAGACUCCUACGGGAGGCAGCAGUAGGGAAUCUUGCGCAAUGGGCGAAAGCCUGACGCAGCAACGCCGCGUGAGGGAUGAAGGCUCUAGGGUUGUAAACCUCUUUCAAGUUGGGGACGAUAAUGACGGUACCCGCAGAAGAAGCUCCGGCCAACUACGUGCCAGCAGCCGC
rnacentral:rRNA from 1 species